rnacentral:rRNA from 1 species
AAUCAACGCUGGCGGCGUGCCUAACACAUGCAAGUCGAACGCGAAAGCCCCGCAAGGGGUUAGUAGAGUGGCAAACGGGUGAGUAACACGUGGGUGACCUGCCUUCGAGUGGGGGAUAACGUCCCGAAAGGGACGCUAAUACCGCAUAAUAUCCUGCCUUUUAAGAGGUGGACAUCAAAGCUGGGGAUCGCAAGACCUAGCGCUUGAAGAGGGGCCCGCGCCUGAUUAGCUAGUUGGUGGGGAAUGGCUCACCAAGGCAACGAUCAGUAUCCGGCCUGAGAGGGCGGACGGACACACUGGGACUGAGACACGGCCCAGACUCCUACGGGAGGCAGCAGUGGGGAAUUGUUCGCAAUGGGCGCAAGCCUGACGACGCAACGCCGCGUGGAGGACGAAGACC